rnacentral:rRNA from 1 species
AGCGAACGCUGGCGGCAGGCCUAACACAUGCAAGUCGAGCGCUCGUAGCAAUACGGGAGCGGCAGACGGGAGAGUAACACGUGGGAACGUACCCUUCGGUUCGGAAUAACCCAGGGAAACUUGGGCUAAUACCGGAUACGUCCGUAAGGAGAAAGAUUUAUCGCCGAGGGAUCGGCCCGCGUCCGAUUAGCUAGUUGGUGGGGUAAUGGCCCACCAAGGCGACGAUCGGUAGCUGGUCUGAGAGGAUGAUCAGCCUCACUGGGACUGAGACACGGCC